CCAGCGCGUGGGUGUGGGCGCUAUUAAAACAAGGCUGAAAGUUUGGGAUGGUCAUUCAACACGCGCUUCUGUAGCCAUACUUGAAACCCAAUUGUGGCUUUUAAUCUUUUUAAAUCGUUGUGGGAUUUUUAAAUAUAUAUAUAGCUGUAUGGAUCCAGAUGCUAUGUCGCGUGCCCUCUGUUGGAUUAUUCUAGUCGCCGCCACGCUUAUUGAUGGGAUAAACGCGGAUAGAACCCUCUGUACGAAAUCUGAAUUUUGGAAUGGAGAUGUUGACGAUUGUGUACCUUGUUCUACAUGUAAACAGUACCCAAAAACCCCAUCAUGUGACACAUGCCCACCCAUAGAGCCUUUGGAUUCCUGGAGGGUGGCAGCAAUCACUAGUUUUUCUGUCCUGGCAGCUGUAAUUGUUUUUGGAGCCUUGCUCAUAGGCAUCCUAGUACAUCAACGCAGGUCCAAGAGGACAUUACGAGAGCCAAUUGAAGAGACGAUAGGACCACUUUAUCCAAUUUAGGAUUUCAAGAGCUUAUGGAACACAAGCUGGUAGGAUACGAAAAUGGACUGUUACUCCAGUGAAUUAAUACUCCAGUCCCUGAAACAUUGGCUGGUACCUCAACCACAUUGUGUUCUAUGAGUAGUUAUUGAUUUGUCUAAUUUAUUACAUACGUAGGCUAUGUCACACAUAGUGAAUUUUUACACACUCAUGUACUUCACUGAGACCUUGUCAUUCACUGUGUGCAGAAUGUAUUUGCAAGCCGUAGGUGCUAAUGUCACAUCUAGAUGCUAGGAUGUCACAUUCUCUGGACAGCAUAUUUUUACAUUUCCUCUGUUGGAACCCUUAAAAAUUUAGCAACUGGCAAAAUUGUCUAUGAGCUCUUGUUAAACUGUUCUUGCAAAAUAAUUUGUUUAAGGCCAUUUACAGUACACUUGUAAUGUAUCUAUUGCAUUGUAGAUGAAGUUCCACUUUUGAAGAAUUCAUUGCAAGUUGGAUUUGUGAACAUCCCCGAUAUAAAUAGCUUUAACCUGCUUUAUAUAGUAGAUAUUGUGUCAAAGAGCACCCUUUCACACAAUUAUGUCUCCUAAACAGGUUUAGUAUGGCACAUAGCCAUUUGAAUGUAUUUGUAACGGUCAUUUGUACAGUUUAAUUAUAUAUUUUAUUGUGUUGAAUACUAUGCACUGUAUAGACGUAGCGCUUUGUACAACAAAGUUCUUAAACUGACUGGCUCAGCAGCCUGUCAAUGGCAUUGAUGAACAUUUUGGAGAUGUGGAGACACCGAAGAAAAGAAAAGAAAAAAAAAGACACUUCUGGCUCUACUUUGCCUCUCAAAGACACAGCAGCCGAUGACCUGAAAGAGAGUGAAAACAAGAAUGUUGCAAGCCGACACACUCACAGAUUCUCCAUGAGAGAGCCGCAGGUGUCUGAUCUCCUCCAUUGUCCUGACUUCAUGUGCAUAAGACAUUAGAUAGUUUAGUGCUAUAUUUACAUACUUUACAUAUCUCAAUGCAUUUUAAUCACACGUGUCUAAUCAAUUCAGCUUUGUAAAAUGUUACGACAGGAUAAAAUCUAGUUUAGGUGUGUGUAGCAAGCAAUGGGCAUUAGAAAAAGUAUAUAUUAUAUAUAUACAGCUGAUACUGAAGUGUCAAUAAAAGUGAUUUCUUUGAAUGAUCUCAAGCACAGAAUUAAUAAAAUAAAGGUGUGAAUCUCACAAAAUCUAUCAAGAACAUGCCCAUGUCAUAUUUCAUACCAAAACCAGAAUAAAUAAAAUAGGAAAUUCUACUUUUCUUGUGGU